UACUAAACCCGAUCGGAGUGAACACGAAACCCGAUUCUUGAUUGGGUGAGUAAAACGGAGAGCGGGACUGACU
rnacentral:sRNA from 1 species